GUAUUGUUGCGCCGCGUCUGCAAAAUCAGGCGUCGGGAUUGGCAUCCUGUAAU
rnacentral:ncRNA from 1 species